rnacentral:rRNA from 1 species
AUUGAACGCUGGCGGCAUGCCUUACACAUGCAAGUCGAACGCGAAAGUGGGGGCAACCCUGCGAGUAGAGUGGCGAACGGGUGAGUAAUACAUCGGAACGUACCCAGGAGUGGGGGACAACCUCGAGAAAUCGAGGCUAAUACCGCAUACGUCCUGAGGGAGAAAGCGGGGGAUCUGCAAGGACCUCGCGCUCAUGGAGCGGCCGAUGUCGGAUUAGCUAGUUGGCGGGGUAAAGGCCCACCAAGGCGACGAUCCGUAGCUGGUUUGAGAGAACGACCAGCCACACUGGGACUGAGACACGGCCCAGACUCCUACGGGAGGCAGCAGUGGGGAAUUUUGGACAAUGGGCGAAAGCCUGAUCCAGCCAUGCCGCGUGAGUGAAGAAGGCCUUCGGGUUGUAAAGCUCUUUCGGCCGGAACGAAAUCGGGUGCGUGAAUAACGUAUCUGGAUGACGGUACUGGAAGAAGAAGCACCGGCUAACUACGUGCCAGCCGCCGCGGUAA